AUUUAGCCCUGAUAGUAGCGGCAUCUCCCGAUUUUUCAUCGGGAAUAUAGCGGAUAGCAGGACAAUUG
rnacentral:sRNA from 1 species